GAUGAACGCUGGCGGAGUGCAUAAUAAAUGAAAGUAAAGCAAACAAAAAAGAAGAUAGAUAAUAUAAAGAUAAAGAAGAAAGAAAGAAAAAAAAAAAAAUAAAAAAAAAACAACAAUAGGACAACAUAGGGAAACCGGAGCUAAUACCGGAUAAUAUAUUGAACCGCAUGGUUCAAUAGUGAAAGACGGUUUUGCUGUCACUUAUAGAUGGAUCCGCGCUGCAUUAGCUAGUUGGUAAGGUAACGGCUUACCAAGGCAACGAUGCUUAGCCGACCGGAGAGGGUGAUCGGCCACACUGGAACUGAGACACGGUCCAGACUCCUACGGGAGGCAGCAGUAGGGAAUCUUCCGCAAUGGGCGAAAGCCUGACGGAGCAACGCCGCGUGAGUGAUGAAGGUCUUCGGAUCGUAAAACUCUGUUAUUAGGGAAGAACAAAUGUGUAAGUAACUAUGCACGUCUUGACGGUACCUAAUCAGAAAGCCACGGCUAACUACGUG
rnacentral:rRNA from 1 species